rnacentral:rRNA from 1 species
UACGUAGGGGGCAAGCGUUGUCCGGAAUCAUUGGGCGUAAAGCGCGUGUAGGCGGCCCGGUAAGUCCGCUGUGAAAGUCGGGGGCUCAACCCUCGGAUGCCGGUGGAUACUGUCGGGCUAGAGUGCGGAAGAGGCGAGUGGAAUUCCUGGUGUAGCGGUGAAAUGCGCAGAUAUCAGGAGGAACACCAAUUGCGAAGGCAGCUCGCUGGGACGUGACUGACGCUGAGGAGCGAAAGCGUGGGGAGCAAACAGG